GUGAGACAGGUGCUGCAUGGCUGUCGUCAGCUCGUGUUGUGAAAUGUUGGGUUAAGUCCCGCAACGAGCGCAACCCUUAUCCUUUGUUGCCAGCGGUUAGGCCGGGAACUCAAAGGAGACUGCCAGUGAUAAACUGGAGGAAGGUGGGGAUGACGUCAAGUCAUCAUGGCCCUUACGACCAGGGCUACACACGUGCUACAAUGGCGCAUACAA
rnacentral:rRNA from 1 species